ACAGGAGACGAAUCAGAACUUCAGUUACAGCUGAAGAGCUCAUCCUAUGACACACAGAUAGUUUUACAACUAAGGAGUAUCUCUGGAAGUUCUCCUUAGGAAGAUUAAGACACCACAUGCAAAAACAUGCUCAAGGUUAAAGAAAGGAGUGACCUGAGCAGACUAAAGUUGGCCGGGUAUUUUGCAUCGUGUGCCUCCUGGGCCCUGAACAAGCUGCUGGAGGGAUCUCCAGAUCUUCCUCAUUGACCAUCGCGAAGGCUGCAUCCAUGCAGCUGGCUGAUCUGAAAUCCCAACUAACACUGUCAUUGAGCAAAGUUCACAGUGUUGUUUGGACAAUGUGCUGUUCUAUACAUAUAUAUCCACAAUAGCAACUGCCUUGGCCAUAAAGCUACCAAAUUUCCUUAAUUAAAACUGCUGACUAUCAUGUCUCAUCCCAUGUAUAAUCCAUUUGCCUCUGGAAAUAGAAAUGCCUCUCAGGGACAAUAUGGACUCUCUACUGGACAGACGCAGGAGACCAUGUGGAGGACUAUACAUAAUCUUGGACCUGGAUCCAACAUAAACUUACCUGGACAGUCAUUUGAUGAAACUAGUUUGCCUGCAAUCAACAGGCCUGAACCAGGUCAAACCACUUCAAACAUUCAUUUACAGAGUACCUUCAAUAUUUCUGCCAGAAAUCAAAUAACAUACCAAUCUUUUGAUCAAGGUGCCACAACAGAGUCAAGCUUUUCUGUCUCAUCAGCUUCUCAAUAUCAUCAACAAUCCAAUGUUUGUGGUGGGAGUAGUUCUUUUAACUGGUUCCCAGAUUGUAGGAGUUCUAAUAAGAUAAUUCCUCAGAGUCUUCGUUAAAUCCUUAUUACGCAGCUCAACCAAUCGGCCAACCUCUAUCCCAUGAGCUUGUUCUCACACCUUGGCAAGCUGAAAAGAUUUUAUUGCAUUGUGGAUUUCAAAAGAAGACUUGAAUGAACUCAUGAAGUACCCUGACGAGGAAACUACAGCUGAGAAGCUACCCUACACUUUACAAAAGAUUCGUAUGAAGAAUGCCGACAGAGCUUUACCUGCGUCCACAUCAGACUCUACGUCUCAACCAAGUUCAAGUGGAAUUGUUAGUUUGAAAAAGCCAACAAUAUUUCAUGAUGAACCACCAUCAAUCAGUUGUCACACAUCUGGGGAUGAACAAACAAAUGUUGAGGGUAACUCUGUUAAGAACUUUCUCAAUAAGGCUCAAAGUUGUGGAUUCACUGUGCUGAUGAACAAUGACGCUAGCAGUCAGGCUAAAAGAGUGUCUGAAAAAUGCUUAGAGUUAAACACCAGUGGUUCCACUUCUUCACGUGACCAGCUGGGCUCUAUUACCUGCUUGAGCUCAGCAAGGAAUGUUGUAGCUUCGGCCCAACAGUGGAAACUCAA